AAUCCUGCUCGAGGGAAGGACUUUGAUGACAUCUUAAAAACCAUUGCAGAUAAAGUUGUCUCACGUAAAGAGAUAUAUGAUCUGGGAAUGGCCCUUGGCUUCGGACCAGAGGAUAUUGACCGUUACGUUGAGGAGAACAAGAGAGAGACAGGAGUGUCGUUUAUGGGAACUCUUUCAAUGCUCCGUAGGUGGAGAAAGAAGCAAACAAAGCAUACAGAGCUGAAAGCCUUGCAGACUGCUCUAGAAAAGGCUGGUCAAAUCCAUCUCGCUGCUGAACUAUUUGAUUUGGAAAAUGAUGAACCUGAAAGUAAUCCAAUGCUUGAUGAUUUGGAAAAUGAUGAACCUGAAAGUAAUCCAAUGCUUGAUGGUAAGUUUAUGAUGAAACGUCACAAUUUAAAAAAAGAAAAUCAUCGUAAUGCGAAUAAAUGGGACUCUUUCUUUCUUGCUCAUGAAAUGAGAAGAACUGUGAACCAGGCGAUUGUUUUAAUUUUAUGUUUAUGUAUUUUGCGAGGUGCUAAAUUCUUAUUCUCAACAUUAUACACACGGCAAAAAAAGU